UUAAGCGACUAAGCGUACACGGUGGAUGCCCUGGCAGUCAGAGGCGAUGAAGGACGUGCUAAUCUGCGAAAAGCGUCGGUAAGGUGAUAUGAACCGUUAUAACCGGCGAUGUCCGAAUGGGGAAACCCAGUGCAAUUCGUUGCACUAUCGUUAACUGAAUACAUAGGUUAACGAGGCGAACCGGGGGAACUGAAACAUCUAAGUACCCCGAGGAAAAGAAAUCAACCGAGAUUCCCCCAGUAGCGGCGAGCGAACGGGGAGCAGCCCAGAGUCUGAAUCAGCUUGUGUGUUAGUGGAACGGUCUGGAAAGUCCGACGGUACAGGGUGAUAGUCCCGUACACCAAAAUGCACAGGCUGUGAACUCGAAGAGUAGGGCGGGACACGUGGUAUCCUGUCUGAAUAUGGGGGGACCAUCCUCCAAGGCUAAAUACUCCUGACUGACCGAUAGUGAACCAGUACCGUGAGGGAAAGGCGAAAAGAACCCCGGCGAGGGGAGUGAAAAAGAACCUGAAACCGUGUACGUACAAGCAGUGGGAGCACCUUCGGGUGUGACUGCGUACCUUUUGUAUAAUGGGUCAGCGACUUAUAUUCUGUAGCAAGGUUAACCGUAUAGGGGAGCCGCAGGGAAACCGAGUCUUAACUGGGCGUUAAGUUGCAGGGUAUAGACCCGAAACCCGGUGAUCUAGCCAUGGGCAGGUUGAAGGUUGGGUAACACUAACUGGAGGACCGAACCGACUAAUGUUGAAAAAUUAGCGGAUGACUUGUGGCUGGGGGUGAAAGGCCAAUCAAACCGGGAGAUAGCUGGUUCUCCCCGAAAGCUAUUUAGGUAGCGCCUCGUGAAUUCAUCUUCGGGGGUAGAGCACUGUUUCGGCUAGGGGGUCAUCCCGACUUACCAACCCGAUGCAAACUACGAAUACCGAAGAAUGUUAUCACGGGAGACACACGGCGGGUGCUAACGUCCGUCGUGAAGAGGGAAACAACCCAGACCGCCAGCUAAGGUCCCAAAGUCAUGGUUAAGUGGGAAACGAUGUGGGAAGGCACAGACAGCCAGGAUGUUGGCUUAGAAGCAGCCAUCAUUUAAAGAAAGCGUAAUAGCUCACUGGUCGAGUCGGCCUGCGCGGAAGAUGUAACGGGGCUAAACCAUGCACCGAAGCUGCGGCAGCGACACUAUGUGUUGUUGGGUAGGGGAGCGUUCUGUAAGCCUGCGAAGGUGUGCUGUGAGGCAUGCUGGAGGUAUCAGAAGUGCGAAUGCUGACAUAAGUAACGAUAAAGCGGGUGAAAAGCCCGCUCGCCGGAAGACCAAGGGUUCCUGUCCAACGUUAAUCGGGGCAGGGUGAGUCGACCCCUAAGGCGAGGCCGAAAGGCGUAGUCGAUGGGAAACAGGUUAAUAUUCCUGUACUUGGUGUUACUGCGAAGGGGGGACGGAGAAGGCUAUGUUAGCCGGGCGACGGUUGUCCCGGUUUAAGCAUGUAGGCUGAUUGUCCAGGCAAAUCCGGAUAAUCAAGGCUGAGGUGUGAUGACGAGGCACUACGGUGCUGAAGUAACAAAUGCCCUGCUUCCAGGAAAAGCCUCUAAGCAUCAGGUAACAUCAAAUCGUACCCCAAACCGACACAGGUGGUCAGGUAGAGAAUACCAAGGCGCUUGAGAGAACUCGGGUGAAGGAACUAGGCAAAAUGGUGCCGUAACUUCGGGAGAAGGCACGCUGGUGUGUAGGUGAAGCCCCUGCGGGUGGAGCUGAGACCAGUCGAAGAUACCAGCUGGCUGCAACUGUUUAUUAAAAACACAGCACUGUGCAAACACGAAAGUGGACGUAUACGGUGUGACGCCUGCCCGGUGCCGGAAGGUUAAUUGAUGGGGUUAUCCGUAAGGAGAAGCUCUUGAUCGAAGCCCCGGUAAACGGCGGCCGUAACUAUAACGGUCCUAAGGUAGCGAAAUUCCUUGUCGGGUAAGUUCCGACCUGCACGAAUGGCGUAAUGAUGGCCAGGCUGUCUCCACCCGAGACUCAGUGAAAUUGAACUCGCUGUGAAGAUGCAGUGUACCCGCGGCAAGACGGAAAGACCCCGUGAACCUUUACUAUAGCUUGACACUGAACAUUGAGCCUUGAUGUGUAGGAUAGGUGGGAGGCUUUGAAGCGUGGACGCCAGUCUGCGUGGAGCCAACCUUGAAAUACCACCCUUUAAUGUUUGAUGUUCUAACGUUGGCCCCUGACCGGGGUUGCGGACAGUGUCUGGUGGGUAGUUUGACUGGGGCGGUCUCCUCCCAAAGCGUAACGGAGGAGCACGAAGGUUAGCUAAUCCUGGUCGGACAUCAGGAGGUUAGUGCAAUGGCAUAAGCUAGCUUGACUGCGAGCGUGACGGCGCGAGCAGGUGCGAAAGCAGGUCAUAGUGAUCCGGUGGUUCUGAAUGGAAGGGCCAUCGCUCAACGGAUAAAAGGUACUCCGGGGAUAACAGGCUGAUACCGCCCAAGAGUUCAUAUCGACGGCGGUGUUUGGCACCUCGAUGUCGGCUCAUCACAUCCUGGGGCUGAAGUAGGUCCCAAGGGUAUGGCUGUUCGCCAUUUAAAGUGGUACGCGAGCUGGGUUUAGAACGUCGUGAGACAGUUCGGUCCCUAUCUGCCGUGGGCGCUGGAGAAUUGAGGGGGGCUGCUCCUAGUACGAGAGGACCGGAGUGGACGCAUCACUGGUGUUCGGGUUGUCAUGCCAAUGGCACUGCCCGGUAGCUAAAUGCGGAAGAGAUAAGUGCUGAAAGCAUCUAAGCACGAAACUUGCCCCGAGAUGAGUUCUCCCUGAGACUUUAAGUCUCCUGAAGGAACGUUAAAGACGAUGACGUUGAUAGGCCGGGUGUGUAAGCGCAGCGAUGCGUUGAGCUAACCGGUACUAAUGAACCGUGAGGCUUAACCU
rnacentral:rRNA from 1 species